rfam:Arabidopsis lyrata subsp. lyrata unplaced genomic scaffold ARALYscaffold_5, whole genome shotgun sequence.
AUACCUUUCUCGGCCUUUUGGCUAAGAUCAAGUGUAGUAUCUGUUCUUAUCAGUUUAAUAUCUGAUAUGUGGGCCAUCGGCUCACACGAUAUUAACUCUAUUUUUUAAGGGGAAGAGCCCAUUAAGAUAGCUUGCUAUCUGGGUUCUUACAAGUCGCUCAUGCGUUGCACUAUAGCACGGGCCUGGCUCACCCCAU